GACGAACGCUGGCGGCGUGCCUAAUACAUGCAAGUCGAACGCUUCUUUCCUCCCGAGUGCUUGCACUCAAUUGGAAAGAGGAGUGGCGGACGGGUGAGUAACACGUGGGUAACCUACCCAUCAGAGGGGGAUAACACUUGGAAACAGGUGCUAAUACCGCAUAACAGUUUAUGCCGCAUGGCAUAAGAGUGAAAGGCGCUAUCGGGUGUCGCUGAUGGAUGGACCCGCGGUGCAUUAGCUAGUUGGUGAGGUAACGGCUCACCAAGGCCACGAUGCAUAGCCGACCUGAUAGGGUGAUUGGCCAUACUGGGACUUAGACACGGCCCAGACUCCUACGGUAGGCAGCAGUAGGGAAUUUUCGGCAAUGGACGAAAGUCUGACCGAGCAACGCCGCGUGAGUGAAGAAGGUUUUCGGAUCGUAAAACUCUGUUGUUAGAGAAGAACAAGGACGUUAGUAACUGAACGUCCCCUGACGGUAUCUAACCAGAAAGCCACGGCUAACUACGUG
rnacentral:rRNA from 1 species